rnacentral:rRNA from 1 species
AUUGAACGCUGGCGGAAUGCUUUACACAUGCAAGUCGAACGGCAGCACGGACUUCGGUCUGGUGGCGAGUGGCGAACGGGUGAGUAAUAUAUCGGAACGUGCCCAGUCGUGGGGGAUAACGUAGUGAAAAUUACGCGAAUACCGCAUACGAUCUAUGGAUGAAAGCGGGGGAUCGCAAGACCUCGCGCGAUUGGAGCGGCCGAUAUCAGAUUAGGUAGUUGGUGGGGUAAAGGCUCACCAAGCCAACGAUCUGUAGCUGGGCUGAGAGGACGAACAGCCACACGGGGACUGAGAAACGGCCCAGACUCCUACGGGAGGCAGCAGUGGGGAAUUUUCGACAAUGGGGGCAAGCCUGCUCCAGCAAUGCCGCGUGUGCGAAGAAGGCCUUCGGGUUGUAAAGCACUUUUGUCAGGGAAGAAAUCUUUCAGGCUAAUACCCUUGGAAGGAUGACGGUACCUGAAGAAUAAGCACCGGCUAACUACGUGCCAGCAGCCGCGGUAA